GGGAGAGGGCUUCCCGAAUGCUUGCGUUGUUCUGCUGUCUCUGGGACGCGUGUCAUCCCUAGGGUGAGCUGGGUUGGUGGAAGUACAUCUUGCACUUUCGUCCACGGUUGGCGUGCGACCCUUCUUGGCCUGAGACCGGAUGGACUUAGGCCUCUGGUUUUCCUUUAUGUUUCGCCCGGCGCCUCAGCACAGCGCGUUUUUCGUCAUUUUUUUGCUUCCUUGAGCUUCUGGCAAAGAUAUCUCCACUGAGACAGAGAGGGGUAUUUUUUUUUAUAUACACCCCUACAUACUUAUUAACCCUUAAUAGGGAACACAUGAAGCAAG